rnacentral:rRNA from 1 species
UCCAGACUCCUACGGGAGGCAGCAGUGGGGGAUAUUGCACAAUGGGGGGAACCCUGAUGCAGCGACGCCGCGUGGGUGAAGGAGUAUUUCGGUAUGUAAAGCCCUAUCGGCAGGGAAGAAGAAAUGACGGUACCUGAAUAAGAAGCACCGGCUAAAUACGUGCCAGCAGCCGCGGUAAUACGUAUGGUGCAAGCGUUAUCCGGAUUUACUGGACGUAAAGGGAGCGCAGGCGGCGCGCCAAGUCUGAUGUGAAACCCCGGGGCUCAACCCCGGGCAUGCAUUGGAAACUGGCGGGCUGGAGUGCCGGAGAGGUAAGCGGAAUUCCUAGUGUAGCGGUGAAAUGCGUAGAUAUUAGGAGGAACACCAGUGGCGAAGGCGGCCUACUGGACGGUGACUGACGCUGAGGCUCGAAAGCGUGGGGAGCAAACAGGAUUAGAUACCCUUGUAAUG